rnacentral:tRNA from 1 species
GGACGGAUGGCUGAGUCUGGUCGAAGGCACCGGUUUUGAAAACCGGCGUACUGUUAUGGUACCGGGGGUUCGAAUCCCUCUCCGUCCG